CUACGUGCCAGCAGCCGCGGUAAUACGGAAGGUCCAGGCGUUAUCCGGAUUUAUUGGGUUUAAAGGGAGCGUAGGCUGGAGAUUAAGUGUGUUGUGAAAUGUAGACGCUCAACGUCUGAAUUGCAGCGCAUACUGGUUUCCUUGAGUACGCACAGCGUUGGCGGAAUUCGUCGUGUAGCGGUGAAAUGCUUAGAUAUGACGAAGAACUCCGAUUGCGAAGGCAGCUGACGGGAGCGCAACUGACGCUUAAGCUCGAAGGUGCGGGUAUCAAACAGGAUUAGAUACCCUGGUAGUCCGCACAGUAAACGAUGGAUGCCCGCUGUUAGCGCCUGGCGUUAGCGGCUAAGCGAAAGCAUUAAGCAUCCCACCUGGGGAGUACGCCGGCAACGGUGAAACUCAAAGGAAUUGACGGGGGCCCGCACAAGCGGAGGAACAUGUGGUUUAAUUCGAUGAUACGCGAGGAACCUUACCCGGGCUUGAAUUGCAGAGGAAUUAUUUAGAGAUA
rnacentral:rRNA from 1 species